rnacentral:rRNA from 1 species
UGGGGAAUAUUGGACAAUGGGCGAAAGCCUGAUCCAGCCAUGCCGCGUGUGUGAAGAAGGUCUUCGGAUUGUAAAGCACUUUAAGUUGGGAGGAAGGGCAGUAAGCUAAUACCUUGCUGUUUUGACGUUACCGACAGAAUAAGCACCGGCUAACUUCGUGCCAGCAGCCGCGGUAAUACGAAGGGUGCAAGCGUUAAUCGGAAUUACUGGGCGUAAAGCGCGCGUAGGUGGUUUGAUAAGUUGGAUGUGAAAGCCCCGGGCUCAACCUGGGAAUUGCAUCCAAAACUGUCUGACUAGAGUAUGGCAGAGGGUGGUGGAAUUUCCUGUGUAGCGGUGAAAUGCGUAGAUAUAGGAAGGAACACCAGUGGCGAAGGCGACCACCUGGGCUAAUACUGACACUGAGGUGCGAAAGCGUGGGGAGCAAACAGG